rnacentral:lncRNA from 1 species
CAGUGCUAGGUUUGAAUAAUGUUGCUGAUGCCUUGAGCGGCAAAGCUUAGUUAGCAGCAUUAAAGCUAGACGAGAGACAUAGGAGCUUUUGCACCUACAUUACAGGAGGUUGGUUGAUAAAGUAUCCUUUUCGAUAUAGCAACUUGGUUAUAGAAUGAAAAUUAGCAACUAGAAAAGGCUGAAAUAAGGACUACGGGAAUAGACUACCGGUAGACUGCGUACGGGAUACGGGAUAUGGUUACCCACCUCAAGCCCUCGCUUAGACUCCAUACUCAAGAAAGAGAGAGAGAAAGCAUUAAUAAGGACAUUUAACAUCUUCCACCUUAGCCCUUAAGACGAUAGGAGAAUCGUCCCAGACCUGAAAGACUCGCUCGCUUAGCCGAACAGACAAGUAAAGUAAUCCCCGGCGGAGCUACAGCAAGUAAUAAUAACUUUGAUUCCCUUUCGUCUUUUGUGAUCCCUUUAAUCGAUUACAGUCCACGAAUGACUUGAAUUCAAUAUAUAUCUUAUUUACAGUUCCUACCUUUGCUUUGAACUAAACCUCUUUAGCAGUAAGUAUUGUAUUGGAAAGGGUAAGGCCAUUUCCGAGUUAGUAAGUCCUACGAUUCUUUCUUUAAAAAUCUA